rnacentral:lncRNA from 1 species
GUGGAGGAUAAAGGGAAAUUGAAAUGUCAGAUUAUCCACUCGUGACACGGUCAGCUUCAGACAGGUUUAAGCUCAGCUUUCAAAGAUUCCUGCUCUGCCAUCUGCUCCCAUACGACCCCACCCAGCUCUGCCAACUCUUUAUGCAGUGCUUGUACCCAAAUACAUUAGAAAGUAAAGCAACAUUCCAGGUUGCUCCAGACAUAGGCACAAAGUCCAGAGAGAGUGGUUUCCCUUUUGCUGUCUUCAAGACCAACAAUCAAAACAAAUGGAUUCAUCUGCCCAAGAGCCCUGGCGAUCUCUCUGUCAAGUGAUGUACAAUUGGUCCCACAGCAACCACAGGGCACAGGGAGCAAGUGAGGCCACAGAAAGCAUAAAAAGCAAAUUGCCCAGCUGCUGAGUUGAUGAAAGCUUAGAGCUGACAGCGUCUGAGAAAGCAUUACUUCUUCCGAUGAGCACCAGAUAUUUAUUAUGAAGUCUGGUCUGGGUUUGAAAGCAGUAUUUUUUAGCCCAGAAUAGUUGCAAAUGUGUGAAACCUUGAAGCUGGGUGUACUGUUAAUACCAGCUGAACAGCUUGGGAGACACUGGCACUCUACACACAGAGUUCACAGGAUUCAGUACUUUGCUUUUUUUUCCUUUCACUCAGCCUUAGUGUUUUGGUAGAAUAGAGAACUGAAACCACCACUUUUUGAAAGCAGGAAGCAUAAAUACAGCCAUAAAGGGUUUAUGUUUCACAGUCUUUAGAAGGAAGUCUCAGCUGUUAAGGUUUGUGCACAGGUGAUCAGCCCAUAGGCUGAACUAACAGGAGAACAGUGUGGAAAAGCACCAACUAUUGCACAGAAGAGGGAAAGCAGCUGGCCAGCCACACCUGGGAUGUGCAGUAAUCCAACAGGAACUGGAAAAGACUACCAGGCAUUUCAGCAAGUGAAACGGGAACAUUGAAAACUCCCUUUGGGUGAAACCCCAAGAGAUAGGGAAGUGCUGAUUUAUUGGCUGUCACUGAGGUCAAAUCAACAAAACAAAUCACCCUGUGGGUGAAAAUUAAAUAGAGGCAGGUUGGUUAUUUGGGAAAGGGAAGGUGUUAAAAAGGACUGCUAGGUGAAACAACUCAUGUGAUCUGGGCUCAUUGGAUUAUUUGUCAAACAUCCAUGCAGCAACAUCUCAACAUGCCUGGAGCAGGACAAUAAUCCUGCUGUUGUAACCAUGCUGUGUGCAUCUGGCUUCCUUCCCUUGUCAGAGUGGGCAAGAGGGUGAACUCAAAUGUCAGGUUCAAUGGGGUUGGAGGAUGGACCAAACACCAGCUUAACAUCAAGGGUCCUAAGCAGUCUAUCUAACAUGAACCCAACUUUGUUCUUUAUUUUUGUUUUAAUUAAGUUUUAGCAUAAGAAAAAGUGUUUAGAAGUAGCUCUGUUGAUGCAGAACUCUGGUCUAAGCCUGUUUACACUUUCCUGCCACAUUGUCCUUUGUAGCAGCCCUUGGCUGAGCAUAGCCAUGAGAAUGAUACCUGUGCUCCAGCCACACCUUGCUGUUCUCCCUGUACCAUCACACUUGUUUUCCUUCAUUAACACACUGCUCAGGGAAGGUUGAGGGACUUGGCAAAGCUGGGCAGUUUCUGCCCUAUAAAGAAGUACAUGGGAGCUUGUGUCAGUCUGUCUUGUAUGUGUGCCCUUGUCCUCUUCCUCCUUUAUUCCCUGUCAAGUAUUUUCCCUGGUUAGCAGAGCAGAAAUGAAACUUUAGCAAUACAGAAUAAUCCAGGAGUCUCUUCUUGAGCCAGUGGAUCACUUUGCUAAUUACCUCAUGAAGAAAGCUGUAAUUCUGCAUGUCUUGGGCAAUUCCAUCAGUGAAAUUUGGCACAACAAUAAAAAAACCCAAACAAAACA